CCUACGGGAGGCUGCAGUGAGGAAUAUUGGUCAAUGGUCGGGAGACUGAACCAGCCAAGCCGCGUGAGGGAUGAAGGUACAGAGUAUCGUAAACCUCUUUUGUCAGGGAACAACGGCGGGGACGUGUCCCCGGAUGCGUGUACCUGAAGCAAAAGCAUCGGCUAACUCCGUGCCAGCAGCCGCGGUAAUACGGAGGAUGCGAGCGUUAUCCGGAUUUCUUGGGUUUACAGGGUGCGCAGGCGGUCUGUUAAGUCAGCGGUCAAAGCCCGGUGCCCAACCCCGGCCCGCCGUUGAAACUGGCAGCCCCGAGUUGGAGAGAAGUAUGCGGAAUGCGCGGUGUAGCGGUGAAAUGCAUAGAUAUCGCGCAGAACUCCGAUUGCGAAGGCAGCAUGCCGGCUCCACACUGACGCUGAGGCACGAAAGCGUGGGUAUCGAACAGGAUUAGAUACCCUUGUAGUC
rnacentral:rRNA from 1 species